rnacentral:rRNA from 1 species
AUACGGAGGGUGCAAGCGUUACUCGGAAUCACUGGGCGUAAAGCGCGCGCAGGCGGCUAUUUAAGUUGGAUGUGAAAGCCUAUGGCUCAACCAUAGAACUGCAUCCAAAACUAUUUAGCUAGAGUGUGGGAGAGGAAGAUGGAAUUAGUUGUGUAGGGGUAAAAUCCGUAGAGAUAACUAGGAAUACCAAAAGCGAAGGCAAUCUUCUGGAACACUACUGACGCUGAGGCGCGAAAGCGUGGGGAGCAAACGGGAUUAGAAACCCCUGUAGUCC